GAUCUAUUUGCAUCCAGCACACAAUGGCCCAGUCAGAGUAGCUUCACAUUGGCUCAAGUUCCAUAUCCAGAGAUCUACUGAACUGAGUCUGAGAUUUCUUUAUUUUCCCAGCUUUUAGGGUAAGGCCCCCUCAAGCUCAGGUGACUGGGAGCGGGCCCACUUCUUUGGGGGAACAUCGGAGCAUUUAGCAGACAAUGAGGCGGAUGUUUAACAGUUGUAGACAAAACAGUGACGUAUUAUCCCCCUUGGAAACAAGUUGUAACCAAAAGCGUCACUGCGAGAGCAGCGAGCGUGAACCACAACAGCAGCGAAGUCGUGGGCUGAAAGGUCAAACAACGCGGCGAGCCGAGAGGAGCUGCAGAUCCACGAGCGCCAGUCUCUGUCACAAAGUGAAGGUCACAGUUACUGGGACGGGACGUGUUCUGGUAGUUGCAGGACCGGUGGAGUCAGGAGCAGAACAUGUUUGUCACGGUGCUGCUCGGUGCAGGAUGGAAAUCUUCAAUCUCAACUGCAAAUUGAUAAACUUUAUCCAUCAUCUAAAGGAGAGAUGCGGUCUGGACUUCAAAGGCACUGAACAGAUUCCCACAACAUUAGUGGGUUGGACUUG
ensembl:lncRNA